rnacentral:rRNA from 1 species
UGGGGAAUAUUGCACAAUGGGCGAAAGCCUGAUGCAGCGACGCCGCGUGAGGGAUGACGGCCUUCGGGUUGUAAACCUUUUUCAGUAGGGACGAAGCGCAAGUGACGGUACCUGCAGAAGAAGCACCGGCUAACUACGUGCCAGCAGCCGCGGUAAUACGUAGGGUGCGAGCGUUGUCCGGAAUUACUGGGCGUAAAGAGCUCGUAGGCGGUUUGUCACGUCGUCUGUGAAAUCCUAGGGCUUAACCCUGGACGUGCAGGCGAUACGGGCUGACUUGAGUACUACAAGGGAGACUGGAAUUUCUGGUGUAGCGGUGGAAUGCACAGAUAUCAGGAAGAACACCGAUGGCGAAGGCAGGUCUCUUGGUAGUAACUGACGCUGAGGAGCGAAAGCAUGGGUAGCGAACAGG